CUAAGGAGCACGUGCAAGCCGUCUGUAUACAGCGGAACCACUUGCCAGCUGUACUGAAGCGAACGCUUCAGACAGCGCUCAUGGGUGGAACAUUGACAUAGCAUUCGAGUCGAAUCUCGAGAACCAAGUACAUCUCUUCGGAGAACGGAACGGUUCGGAAGAGGGAACUCGGAUGGUGCACGCUGUUGGGUCCUGAGGGACCGGGCCGGCGGUCGAAAGACCGCCGAUUUGCCUCUCUGGACUUCGACUGUUCCGGCCAGCGGCCUGGGCAGCGGAGUACCGCCCGUAUUUUGAGAACUACACAGUGGACGCGAGCAUCUUAGAUUCGGGGCCUUCGGGUCCCGUGAUCUACAAGAUGAUCAAAUAGGAGGCUCCUUCGGGAGUCUUCCGAUAGAUCAUUGGUCAAUCUGCAGCUGUCGGAACGUGCCUUCGGGCUCAGUACGUCAGCUGUCGAUCGAUUCUAAAACUCAUGUA
rnacentral:misc_RNA from 1 species